rnacentral:piRNA from 1 species
UGAGAUGCUAUUCCUAGAUGGCCU